rnacentral:rRNA from 1 species
AUUGAACGCUGGCGGCAGGCCUAACACAUGCAAGUCGGACGAGCGGCGGACGGGUGAGUAAUGUAUGGGAAACUGCCUGAUGGAGGGGGAUAACUACUGGAAACGGUAGCUAAUACCGCAUACCAUCAGAUGUGCCCAGAUGGGAUUAGCUGGUAGGUAGGGUAACGGCUUACCUAGGCGACGAUCCCUAGCUGGUCUGAGAGGAUGACCAGCCACACGGGGACUGAGACACGGCCCAGACUCCUACGGGAGGCAGCAGUGGGGAAUAUUGCGCAAUGGGGGCAACCCUGACGCAGCCAUGCCGCGUGAAUGAAGAAGGCCUUCGGGUUGUAAAGUACUUUCGGUAGCGAGGCGUUAACUACAGAAGAAGCACCGGCUAACUCCGUGCCAGCAGCCGCGGUAAUAC